rnacentral:lncRNA from 1 species
UGAUGUUUAAUUUUCUGCUUUUCCAGAUAAAGUUGUUGGUGAUACCAUUUUGUAUUAUGGAUGCCGGAACAAAGGUAAUGACUUCCUUUAUGAAGAAGAACUAAAUUCCUAUAUUGAUCAGAAAUCUUUGACCAAACUCUAUUUGGCUUUCUCAAGAGACACUGCCAAAAAAGUCUAUGUCCAACACCUUUUGAUGGACAAUCGGGAAGAAACUUGGAAAUUAUUGAGUUCAGGUGGACAUAUAUAUAUCUGUGGUGAUGCACGUAAUAUGGCCCGUGAUGUCUAUGACACAUUGAUAUCAAUAAUAAUGGAGUUUGCUAAGUUACCCAGCAAGCCUGAAGCUGUUGAAUACAU